AGUCGAACGAACCCUUCGGGGUUAGUGGCAGACGGGUGCGUAACACGUGGGAACCUACCUUAAGGUACCGAAUAACUCAGGGAAACUUGUGCUAAUACCGUAUAUGUCUUCGGAUGAAAGAUUUAUCGCCUUAAGAUGGGCCCGCGGCUGAUUAGGUAGUUGGUGGGGUAAUGGCCUACCAAGCCGACGAUCAGUAGCUGGUCUGAGUCGAUGAUCAGCCACACUGGGACUGAGACACG
rnacentral:rRNA from 1 species